rnacentral:lncRNA from 1 species
GGGUUCUCAAAUCCAGAUUUCAUUCUGCAGUCCCGGCAGUGUUUUGACGACUGCCUCACUAAAGGAAGCUAAAAGCUGUGCUGAUGCCUCCCAGACGAGCCUCGUUGGAAGCACAGAACCUUCACGGCUCGGAGCCGCUGACACCGUGACAAAGGGAGCCCUGCUCAGGAGAAAGAGCAAAUGAGAGGAAGUUGCACUUUUUCAGGUGUCAGGCUGGAGGAAGCCACUUGAAGAUGAGUCUACCUCUGCCUUAGGAUUGCCUGAUGGCCUGUGCCAUUCCAUGUUAUGUCUACUGAUUUGCUCCCUGUAUUCAACGAUUUUUUUUUUUUUUUUUUUUACUUAAUUCUCUCUUACUGACCCUGAGAGUGACCAUAUUUUUAACCAAUUUGGUCUUCAGCCUCAAAACUUAGCUCUUUCCUUUUGUGGUCCCUGAAUCCUACCACGUGUCAUGGUGGCUGUGAAGAUGUUUGCCAAGCCUGCUGAGAAGGCUCAUCUGUGGCAUCCAAAAGCAGAAAUUUCAACUCUGGACCCCUGUGACCUGCCUUUGGAAUUAUGGAUACCCAGCACUGUUUUGAAAUAUCAGUGGACAUCCAGUUUUUAAAAGCCCUCAGAGCUUUGGGAGACACCCCUUUAUCUCUCUGGCAUGUCAGAGAACCGAUUCAACCCUUCUCAUCUCCUCCUCCUUCCCUCUCUUGGGCCAUCAGGAUGCAGCAGCAACUCACUGUGCAUGUUUUUACAGCUCUUCUCCAGUAAUGCUGCCAUUUCCACUGCAGACCACAGGAUAAACGGACUGCUUCACAGUGGCCCAGGAUACCCUUUUAAGUAGGAGAGGGAGAAGAAAGUACUGUUUUGAUCUAAAAUUAAGCAAACGUUCUUCAAUAAACCCACCAUGAGACUUGACCACUAAUGGUGACCAGCAGUGGCUUUGUCAUGGCCCUGCCCACUGGGGGCAGGCACAUGCCAGGGCCAGGGUAGGCUGCCAGCUGGUGAGCACGAAUAGGUGGCUGGUGGAGCGCACGCAGUGGGAAGGGCAGAUGGCUCCAUUUUGAUUUGUUAGCAAGCUGCUUCCUCGGAAGGGGCUUUCCCUUCAGUGGAGUCUGCACCCCCAGCCUCAGCUGUCUUGGAGCAGAUGUGUAUAGUUAGAGAUGGGGACCUUUUCACUGUAAAUACUGCUCACAUGUUCCUAGGCUGACUUUACUAUGUGCAGAGCCUCUUCCCAAAUAUCCAAAUCCCCUCUGUUGGGUACUACAGAACAGAUGUUACCCUGCCUCCUAUUACAUUAAUUUACGAACUUUACAUAUGCUGAGUUACGGACCCUAAGCUGUUGCAUGUGCUUGGCUCUUAUGUUCCAAAAAGUACAUUUGUAUGGUUUUGUGGAAACUGUGCUGUUCUGCUUUUGCAGUCUGUGAGAUUCUGAUGUUUUUUUUUUCUCAUCAGCAAUUUUCCUUGUCUUGGAACAUCAGAGCUUGAAGAAAGGGAUUCUAGCAGCCCACCUCUCUCCUUCCUAAUCCAGAUGGUUAGAGGCUUAGAGAGAGGUGGCGGUUGCUCUGAGUUUACCAAAUUCAGUGACAAACCCCUUCUAAUUUCUAAUCCAUCUGGCAGCCUUCAUUUACCAAAAGUUGACUUUUGAUAGUAUAACUUUUAUACACUGUGAGACAACUUAUUUUAAAAAACAGUUUAGAAAUGUUUAAUUUUUUUUUGAAAGAAUUUUUAAGGUCAGGCACCAUGGGUCAUGCCUAUCAUCUCAACACUUUGAGGACCGAAGUGGGAGGAUCAUUUGAGGCCAAGAUUUCGAGAUCAGCUUGGGCAACAUAGUGAGACUCUGUCUCUAAAAAAUUUAAAAAAAAUAGCCAGGUGUGGUGGCGCAUGCCUGUAGUCCCAGCUACUUCGGAGGCUGAAGUGGGAGGAUCCAUUGAGCCUAGGAGAUGGCAAUUGAGUAAGCCAUGAUUGCACCACUGCACUCC